rnacentral:rRNA from 1 species
AUUGAACGCUGGCGGAAUGCUUUACACAUGCAAGUCGAACGGUAGAGGGGGCAACCCCUCGAGAGUGGCGAACGGGUGAGUAAUAUAUCGGAACGUGCCCAGUCGUGGGGGAUAACGUAGCGAAAGUUACGCUAAUACCGCAUACGAUCUAAGGAUGAAAGCGGGGGAUCGCAAGACCUCGCGCGAUUGGAGCGGCUGAUGUCAGAUUAGGUAGUCGGUGGGGUAAAGGCUCACCAAGCCAACGAUCUGUAGCUGGUCUGAGAGGACGACCAGCCACACUGGAACUGAGACACGGUCCAGACUCCUACGGGAGGCAGCAGUGGGGAAUUUUGGACAAUGGACGCAAGUCUGAUCCAGCCAUUCCGCGUGCAGGAUGAAGGCCCUCGGGUUGUAAACUGCUUUUGUACGGAACGAAAAGGUCUCUCUUAAUACGGGGGACUCAUGACGGUACCGUAAGAAUAAGCACCGGCUAACUACGUGCCAGCAGCCGCCGCCG